AGUCUCUUAAUUGGUGACUUGUAUGAAAGAUUGGAUGAAAUAUAUACUGUCUCUUUAUUAAUAAUAGAAUUUAAUUUUUUAAUUAAAAAGUUAAAAUAAAUUUAAAAGACGAGAAGACCCCAUAGAGUUUUAUAUAUUAAUUAAUUAAUAUUUGUUUAUAAAUAAAUAUAUAUAUAUAUAUAUAUAUAUAUAAAAAAAUGAAUUAAUUUAAUAUAUUUUAUUGGGGUGAUAGAAAAAUUAAUUAAACUUUUUUUAUAUUAAUUUACAUAAGUAGUUGAAUAUGGUGAUCCAAAAUUUUUGAUUAUAAGAAUAAAUUACCUUGGGGAUAACAGCGUAAUUUUUUUUUUUAGUUCAAAUAAAAAAAAGAGUUUGCGACCUCGAUGUKGGAUUAAGAUAAAAUUUAAAUGC
rnacentral:rRNA from 1 species